rnacentral:lncRNA from 1 species
AUGGGGUCGUAGAGACGAAGGGCGGGAGAAUUUGCUAGAAAGACAAUGGGAGAGGCAGAGAGGGAGAGAGGACCUGGGAGUGUCUUGGAGGGGUUGGGGGGAGAGGGAGAGAGAGGACCUAGGGCAUCGGGGAGGGGGGUUUGGAGGAGGUGCUCGAGAGGCUGUAAAGGGCUGUAUCGACCCAACUGUCCGAAUUAUUCCAUUUCUUAACCUAUUUAGUUCGGUACGGCUCAAACUACAUGGUUCGGGUUAGCUCGGUCUUCCUUAGUCUGUACCAACCCCUUGACAAUGAAGGAGGGCAUCAUUUUGGCAAAUAUUGCCUUAAUUGCUUGAACCGGCCCUAGAUCAAGCGGUUGAGGGCACUUAAAGGAUGAUACACAUUUGGCCGGUCUUGAACCAAGCAUACUACCUCGUAUUACUUGGGAUGGCUAAAACAAUCCUUUUUGACAAUUAAAUGUUUGAAAUGAAGUUGGGAGAAGAAAAGACUAACUAGGGAGAUUGGCUUGUAGGACCAAAGCUUGGUUUUUGAAAAUUAUUCAAGCUAGGUUUAUAUUCUCUCAUCUUUUUUCCCUUAUUUCAGAAAUCCAAGUGGAAUCUUGUUUUCUUGUAAUAAUCACAUGGAAAUUGUUGAAUGAGGAUUCAAUAUUGCUUGAUCAUUGGAUUCAUAUAUAGGGCAUGGCUUUGAGAUCAAAAUCAAUGAUAUUUGAUGUUGUAAUGAACCCCAAAACUUACACAAAAAUUGUAUAAAUCUGAAAUAGUCCAAAAAUGGCUGAUCAAGACAUGCAGACGGCUCUCUAUGCAAAUCCAUUAACACCAUUUGUCAGCACAGUCCUCGAUAUGAUGCGUCUUGUACCACCCCAGGUGGGCAUGCUCCCAUACCUUGAUAUUCCAACUCUUGGUUUAAAAUUAUAGACAUGACCAAACCUAUGAUGCCAUAUAUUAUGAGGUGAUGAUGGUAUUGUAGAAAAAAAAAGGGCAACAUUAAGAGUAGGAAGAUGACAAUCAAGGUUCGCCGAACCAGUAUUGAAAGACAUACUAGCCGAUGACAGGUUUGGCAUGAUACGGUUCCGUAUCAUGCCUUUCUAGAGCAUACCAAAAUAGGGAAACCUAGAGAGGGAGGGGGAGAGGGAGAAGGAGAGAAAGGAAGAGAGAGAGGGAGGAGAGAUAGGAAGAGAGAGAGGGAGGAUGAGAGGGAGAGGGAGAGGGAGAGAGUGCAACUUACCUAGGUUGCACGACGUUGUCUUCAACUGGCCGGGGAUGGAGGGGCUUGGUUAGGGUUUUGACACUGUACAAGGGGCGAAUGAAAUUGGCCGCAGCCCUCCAAGAGGAUCGCAAUCGCAGUCCUCUAUUACAAAUCCAUUUUUUUAUUUUUAAAUUUUGAAUUGAAGUUGGCAGAUUGUUUGCCAACUUCAAUUCGAAAUUUAAAAAGACAAAAGGGUUUCGAAAUAGAGGACCGGGAUUGCAAUCCUCUUCUUUGUUCCCUUUCCCCCUUGUUCCACCGGAUGACACUAUGGUUGGUCCUCUUUCUCUCUCUCCCCCCCUUCUUGGCGAUGGAAGAGGGCGAUCAUGCAUUUUUUAUAUGCCGAACCGAAUGGGACGAUUGAAGCAUGCCUUUUCAAUAAUAUAUUUGUAGAGCUGUUUCACCUAUGUCCAUUUCCAAUCAUUCAUCAAGAGUUGAGCAAAAACAAAAUGAGAUAAUGCCAUGGCAAUCAUUAAGUUGGCCAAUGAAAAUAUAUUUGUAGUAUGAAAGACAAUAACAAAAAACAUCCAUCUACAGGUGGAUAGUGAUAGUCAACUUUAAAGACCACGCAAUAGCACGUAUCUAGUAGGAUAGUGAUUACGGGUAUCGAUCCACAGAGAUUGGGGUAUAGUUGUUUUCUUAAAAAAAAAUAUUUAAAAGAAAAAGUUUGUGAAGAAAAUUAAACUAAGAAAUUUAAUAAAAGAAAAUACAAUUAAAAUGAUAUCAGUUUGGGGGAACCUAGGGCAAAGAAUUCACCACUAACAUCGGAAUAAGGGUUAUUUAUAUUUUAAUUCGUUCUUAGAUUAACAUGCAAAUUGGCUACAAGCCCUAUAAGCAUUCAAAUAAAAUUUCACAAAAGUAAUUUAGGAACAUCCAUCUUCAGUUAGCAUGAAAUGUCUACCCUAAACUAAUGUGGCAGGACACUGCAUCUUCCUUAAGCAUGGAUGAUCUUACAUUAACUUAGUGAUCAUGAAAAACAGUUGUAUAAACAUCAUACUUAAAAUCACAGAAAUUAAAUAUGGGAUGAAAUAAAAUAUUCAUUAAGAACAGAAUAAAGUUUAUACAACUCCAAGAAUAGAAAUCAAAAAUAUAAAACCCGUAUCCCUUUGUUAGGGCUGCAUCCAGCCCUAGUGAAGAGAUCAGCCUUCCAUGGUAUGGGAGGUAGCAGCAACGACGCAGAAGGCCUUCAUCAUGACUGGGUUCCUCCCUUCUUCGUCUUCCCUCUCAGACUAAUCUCAACACGAACUGAAUAAAAAUCAAACUCCC